UAAUCUUUCUGGGAUAGAUCCUCAUAUAGUUGUAGCAGACUCACACCUGAUCGUUCAGAAUCACACGUUAUCGUAAGCCCGACUAUUUUAUUGACACUAAAAAUCAGAGGACAACUACCUUAUAAACAAUAAUUUUUUAAGAUU
rnacentral:pre_miRNA from 13 species